AACCUGGCUUCCAGUGAUGGGAUAUACACAGCUUCUCCAGGCAGUCUGUGCCAGUGCCUCACCACCAUCUGAGUAAAGAUUUUCUUCCUAACACCUAUCCUAAAUCUCCUCUCUUUCAGUUUAAAACCAUUCCCCUUUGCCCUGUCCCCCUCCUGCUUGUGAGCUCCCUUCUGGAAGGCCACAGUGAGCCUUUUCUUAAGUGAUACGUUUGGGAAACAGCACACAGAAAGUAUCCACGCAAGAAAGGCAUUCUGCAAGAAAGAGCUGCUCAUUUCCAUACGCAUGCUGCAAACUUAAACACAAUGGUCCCAUUUUAUCAUUUGUUAUUUCAACUUUGCUGAUGAUUCAGUGGUGUUAUUCCGGUGAAAAUCUGGAGAAGAGCAGUGAAUCAGCUCCCUGGCUCUGCUUCGUGCUAUCUAAAAUGAGGAUCCACCUACAGUUGGUUCCUUUCCCAAAGUUGGCCUUAAAGGACAUCCCACAUAAAUCUACUCUCAGCCAGUGCCUGCAGAUGUAGCCCUCUCCCACGCGCUUACCUCUCCUGCACCCCGUUAAUGGAUUGAUUACUGGACAGAGCCCCGCCGUGUGAUGGUGCUGGGCAUGCUCAGCAAGAAGCAGCAAUUCUUGCUUUGAGCAUCAGCCAUCACAGGAGGACCUGAGGACCUGAGCAAUGAACCGAGUGUGCAGAUGUAUUUGCAGGGUGAUGGAUGAUUGAGGUGAGAUGUCUUUGACACACUGAUGGACUGGGAGGAGGGGCUUUGCUGGAUGCCUGAUGACUGCCCAUGGGAUACAGCUGGAAAAGGUCUUUUGUUUCCUCGACGUGCAUUUGCAACCAUUUGCUGCUUAUGUACCACUUCCAGAAGCAGUGGAAGGUAAGGGGGAAUGUCAACCCUGCCUCCCAGAUGGACCCAUCAAUACAGAGAGAACAACAAGGAUUAUCAGCAGCACCCUCAGCAUUUGAGUGUCCACGAUCAAGUCUUUUGUUCUGAACAAUCCAGAAAUAGGCCUCAAUUUACCAUUCCCUUCAACUAAAGGAUAUCUGAAAGCAAAAUGCUCCAGCCCUCCAGUCAUUUCUGUGUCUCUCCUUUGGGCCUGCUCUAACAGCUGUGUGUCUCCUGAGGCACAUCACUCAUCACAGAUCUCCUCCUGAACACUGAGCCAUUGACUGCAACUCCCUGUAUGCAGACAUCCAGUCCAUUUCUUUUCCACAAAACAGUCCAUUCAAAACCACGUCUCCAGUGCAGAGACAAGGACAUGAUGUGGGCCAUGCCUAAAGCCUUACAGAAGUUCAGGAAAAUGACAUGAAUUACUGCUCCCCAUUUUGGAGAGAGAACUCUGCAUGCUUCCAACUCCAGCCAUUCUAUGAUUCUAGCCCAAUUUUCCUGCUUCCAAAGACUGCAGAGGAGUUUUAUUCCUCCCUCAUGGCACCCACAAAAGCAUUGGACUGACAGUUUAGGAUAAGCCUAAGCCAAGCUGAAGCCACCAUCCUCUCAGCUCUCAAGGUCCUAUGGCUCCGAGGUCACACCUUAAUAAAUAGCAGUGCUACUUGGAGAGCUUCUGUUGCUGAAAACAGGACCAGUACGAGGGGACAGGUUACACACUUGGAAGCAUGCAGAGUCCUUCAGGAUUUAUUUGUUCACUCCAGAGAGAACGUGAGUCAUGAGAAACCUUAAGGUGGAGCGCUCGAAACAAGGAGUGUAUAAAUGAUUAGCAAGGGAAGGUCAGCACCAGUCCUUCAAGUCUGAGCAUGUCCCACUGUCAAUGGUGCAUAAAUAAUACCAGCUGGAUGCUUGUGGCUGUAGGAGAAUGGCUAUCACACUUCUAGUCCCUUACACGACUCUGGCUCUCGCUCAGAGAUAUCUGACAAGGCCACUGGCAUCUUUUUCUUUUUUCCUAAGACAAACUUAUAUUACAGAAACACUCUGGGUAACACACAAACACCUGAGUACGCUAUCUCUAGAUCCACUGAUACAAUGCGGUACUGCGUGACACAGCACCUAACUACUGCGUGCAGCUGAAAGCGGAGGGGCUGGUACUUUCAUCACUAACACCUGUAGAUUACGAUGGGGAAUCCUGGCCAGUUUUGUACUUUGUUAUCCAGCUGUGACAAAAUCUCUUAUGGAGAUAAUGAGCACCUUUUCCACUGAGCUUUUCUUCAGAUCGUCUCUACAAAGUUGCUAAUCAAGGGUUGAAGUUGGACAGGUGAGCUGCAACACAGGGACUGGCCAAGCCCUGUGUGGUGCAGAGCAACAGAAACUUCUGUGGAGCAUGAAGGUAUAAAACCAUAUCCCUUUAUCUGGUCUUAUGCUAAAACACACAGGUCAUUUCACAGACAUCUGCAUCAGGCGCACAGCAUCAGGUGAAAAAGUAGUAUUUUUCACCUUAUUUCUAUUCAGAAAUUCAAGAGCACAACCCUACCAUAACCCAGCAGUUAGAAGCAAUGCCAAGGAAAGCUAUUUACAUACAACAGACAACAUGGUCACCAGCCUGUCCUUCCUCAUGGAACUUCUCUUGUGCGUUUUGCUUUCACCCAUAUUCGAAGACCCCUUGAGCCCUACAUGCAAGUAGGCACUUGGCUGAAAGAAAAGGAUGUGACAGAGAGAAAAAGAGACCACAGAGAUGCUAACUGAACCCAGCAGCCUGUGGGGAACGAGGUGGACCCCACAUUGGGAUGAAGACCACCAGGGUAGAGCUCAGCAUGGGCAUGUUUGUGGUUCAGUGGCUCCUGUCCCAGCUGAACAGGACAACUGCAGUGACAAAGUGGCAAUGGCAUGAAGCCAGUACAAAACCUGAAUGCUGACCGGUGCCUCCCCUGCCCUGCUUUGCUCCCAGGCAGAGGAUGGCAGGACAGAGAACGCUCCUGCUCUCCAACUCCUGAAGCAGAGGGCAGGAAGGACGUAGUUCCCAUGUGUUCAGGUAAAGGAGCAUAUUUGGGCUGAGUUUCAUACAUGCAUGCUUCCCAGCCUGAGUGCCAUCUCCCUUACCAACAGUACCUUUGCACCACUGCUUUCUGUCUGGG
ensembl:lncRNA